UACGUAGGGUGCGAGCGUUGUCCGGAAUUAUUGGGCGUAAAGAGCUUGUAGGCGGUCUGUCGCGUCUGCUGUGAAAAUCCGGGGCUCAACCCCGGACUUGCAGUGGAUACGGGCAGACUAGAGUUCGGUAGGGGAGUCUGGAAUUCCUGGUGUAGCGGUGAAAUGCGCAGAUAUCAGGAGGAACACCGGUGGCGAAGGCGGGACUCUGGGCCGAUACUGACGCUGAGGAGCGAAAGCGUGGGGAGCAAACAGG
rnacentral:rRNA from 1 species